GGGACACUGAGGGACAGCGGUUGUGGGGACAUUGACACUGAGGACAAAUGCUGAGAUGCCCCAAGAUCAGUCUUGGGCUAUAGUAACACACUGAAGUGCUCUACUUACUGAAAUGCUGACUGGAGCUUGCUAGGAAAACAUUUGGAAUUAAUUAAGAAUGUCAGGCUACAGAUGCUGCUAACAGGAAAGGAAACACAGCAUCAAAUGAGACAUGAGACCAAACAGUGACUCUUUAUCAGGAAUACCCACUGGGAAUGCCAUUCUCUGCUCUCAGGCAGGUUUCUUCUAUGCACUCCUUGAGCUUUUCUUCUUUAAUCAUUUAAUAGUGAGCAUUUUUAGUUUCUCUUCCAAGUGCAGGUUCUCUGAUCCAAGUUACUGGGGAAAUAAAUAUGACUAAAAGAGCUUAAGAGACUCCAGAACUACAAAGGUUGCUUACCUUGUGAGGGAAAUUCUGCUUAUAAAAAAUGUUUCUAUGCUGUCAAGCACCCUAAAAUUAUAUGGGCAGGAGAGCCUUUUUAAAGUAAUUCCAUGAUCUUAAGUCACAAAUGUCCCACUGAAAUUCAAGGGACUUGGCCUCUUUAUUCCUAGAGUUAGAUAGAUAGGUUUAAGCAAAUCUUGCAUUGAUCCUGGGGGAAGAAAAAUGGAAAAAACCUGACAACUGUACUUCCAGUGAUUGCACUUUUAUUUCCUUGGAACCACGUUGGUGUAUCUUUCUAUAAAAUUCACAGUACAAAAAAAAAA